rnacentral:rRNA from 1 species
UAGCCUACGGGACGCAGCAGUCGAGAAUCAUUCACAAUGGGGGAGACCCUGAUGGUGCUCCUCCUCUUUUUUUCCUGCCGGUCUUCGGAUUGUAAACCCCUGUCAUGUGGGAGCAAAUUAAAAAGAUAGUACCACAAGAGGAAGAGACGGCUAACUCUGUGCCAGCAGCCGCGGUAAUACAGAGGUCUCAAGCGUUGUUCGGAAUCACUGGGCGUAAAGCGUGCGUAGGCUGUUUCGUAAGUCGUGUGUG